UGUACUACAAGCUAGCCUGAAACUCACUA
rnacentral:piRNA from 1 species